rnacentral:rRNA from 2 species
AUUGAACGCUGGCGGCAGGCCUAACACAUGCAAGUCGAGCGGAUGAAGAGAGCUUGCUCUCUGAUUCAGCGGCGGACGGGUGAGUAAUGCCUAGGAAUCUGCCUGAUAGUGGGGGACAAUGUUUCGAAAGGAACGCUAAUACCGCAUACGUCCUACGGGAGAAAGCAGGGGACCUUCGGGCCUUGCGCUAUCAGAUGAGCCUAGGUCGGAUUAGCUAGUUGGUGAGGUAAUGGCUCACCAAGGCGACGAUCCGUAACUGGUCUGAGAGGAUGAUCAGUCACACUGGAACUGAGACACGGUCCAGACUCCUACGGGAGGCAGCAGUGGGGAAUAUUGGACAAUGGGCGAAAGCCUGAUCCAGCCAUGCCGCGUGUGUGAAGAAGGUCUUCGGAUUGUAAAGCACUUUAAGUUGGGAGGAAGGGCAUUAACCUAAUACGGUA